GGAAAAGGAAGGAGCUGGAAUGUCUCACUCCCCAAAGUAGCAACAGUGUAGAAAGGUGGGAAGGGUGAAGAACCCACGCGGCCCUGACGCCGCAAGCCUCUGUUCACGCUGGUUCUCUGGAGAGAGGGAGGGGCGGGGCCGGCGAGGCGGAGCGAGCGCGUUGCGCGCUGCCCGGAAAGCUUUCAUCCAGGAGGGAUUUUGUUCCAUAAGAGAGAGCUAACAGUGUCUGAAGACAUUUUUGAUUUCUUCACGUUUUUUGGCUCCCUGCUGGAUUUUCAGAGUGAAGUCAGAUGCAGUUUUCUGUGGGGCUGAAAUUUCACCAGGGGUAAGUUCAUUCAGAUUCUGGGUCAUUUACACUUCAAGCCUGCAAUUUGAUCUGAUUAUCACUGGCU
rnacentral:lncRNA from 1 species